rnacentral:rRNA from 1 species
CCUACGGGAGGCAGCAGUGAGGAAUAUUGGUCAAUGGACGAGAGUCUGAACCAGCCAAGUCGCGUGAAGGAUGACUGCCCUCUGGGUUGUAAACUUCUUUUAUAUGGGAAUAAAAUGUUCCACGUGUGGGAUUUUGUAUGUACCAUAUGAAUAAGGAUCGGCUAACUCCGUGCCAGCAGCCGCGGUAAUACGGAGGAUCCGAGCGUUAUCCGGAUUUAUUGGGUUUAAAGGGAGCGUAGGUGGAUUGUUAAGUCAGUUGUGAAAGUUUGCGGCUCAACCGGAAAAUUGCAGUUGAAACUGGCAGUCUUGAGUACAGUAGAGGUAGGCGGAAUUCGUGGUGUAGCGGUGAAAUGCUUAGAUAUCACGAAGAACUCCGAUUGCGAAGGCAGUUCACUGGACUGCAACUGACACUGAGGCUCGAAAGUGUGGGUAUCAAACAGGAUUAGAUACCCUAGUAGUC